ACUAUAAUCGACAAUAACGGUCAUCCUGGAGUCUCCGUUGGUCAAAGAUAGCCGCGAGUUUCAAUCAAAAUUGCGUAUGCUGAGGUUGAAGAGGAAGCGCCGAAAGAUGAGACAUAGAUUGAAGUAGAAGCACAUUCCGCAGUUCUCAACUGUUGGAGAAAGUAUCUUGAAGGUGAGUGGUUCCUUGCAAGAGACUAUUGGAGUGUAAUUGGGGCACAAAAUCAAAAUUAGAAUACCAAAUUAUGUUUACCGGUGAAUUACAGAGAAACACUUCCGUCGGUAUAAAAAAAGAAUUUUUGUCUGAGGUACCCUGAACCCUCUCCAUAUAUUGUUUGUUUGAAAUGGAAAAGGUUGAGCUUGAGACUACAACUCCUUCUUAGUUGGAACAAUGAAUUCAGGUGUACUUGUGAUGUCUCCUUCGAUACAAACAUUUGUUUUGGUUAUAUGUUCUCUAAAAGUAUUUAAAUAUGAAUAGUU